UUAAUGGCCCUAGGAUACUGCAAGUCGGUUUAUGAAGAUGAGGAAGAUCCAAAAGUAAUGGAAGCAUAUGAAUUGAUUGGUUCUCUGCUGGUUGGUAAUGGUGAAGUUGAACAAUCUUGACUUGAGAUGUCAAGAUGAGCUGGAGAAUAAUAGUUGAUAUAAGGAUUCUUGUGGAUUGCUGGUUAGCGGAGCCGUCAAGAAAUGAUAAAGUGGUUUAUGCCAUGAUGCCAGAAUCUGCUUCUUGUCCAUCAUUAAUGAUGCAAAACUGCUUGGUGUAUUUUUAUUAUGGGGUAUCCAUGUUUAUUUAUUUUAUCUUUCAACAAUAUGACCAUUCCCAUCAAAUUUGCUGCGGUAAACUGCAUGAAUUGAGUGAAGGUUCCCAAACAUGCCAUAUAUGUUUGUGUACAGCUUGCAGAGGACCAUGUAAAAUUCUCUCUCUUGUUUUAUGUUCCUCUUAAAGGUUUAUAUUGCAUAAUAUUUUGGUUUUGCCA